CUGGUUGAUCCUGCCAGUAGUCAUAUGCUUGUCUCAAAGAUUAAGCCAUGCAUGUCUAAGUAUAAGCAAUUAUACCGUGAAACUGCGAAUGGCUCAUUAAAUCAGUUAUCGUUUAUUUGAUAAUACCUUACUACUUGGAUAACCGUGGUAAUUCUAGAGCUAAUACAUGCUGAAAAUCCCGACUUCGGAAGGGAUGUGUUUAUUAGAUAAAAAACCAAUGCCCUUCGGGGCUCUUUGGUGAUUCAUGAUAACUUUACGGAUCGCAUAGCCUUGCGCUGGCGACGGUUCAUUCAAAUUUCUGCCCUAUCAACUUUCGAUGGUAAGGUAUUGGCUUACCAUGGUCUCAACGGGUAACGGGGAAUUAGGGUUCGAUUCCGGAGAGGGAGCCUGAGAAACGGCUACCACAUCCAAGGAAGGCAGCAGGCGCGCAAAUUACCCAAUCCCGACACGGGGAGGUAGUGACAAUAAAUACUGAUACAGGGCUCUUUUGGGUCUUGUAAUUGGAAUGAGUACAAUUUAAACCUCUUAACGAGGAACAAUUGGAGGGCAAGUCUGGUAAU
rnacentral:rRNA from 1 species